CACGUAGGGGGCGAGCGUUGUCCGGAUUUAUUGGGCGUAAAGAGCUCGUAGGCGGUUUCGUUAGUCGGGUGUGAAAACCCCAGGCUCAACCUGGGGACGCCACCCGAUACUGCGAUGACUAGAGUCCGGUAGGGGAGUGUGGAAUUCCUGGUGUAGCGGUGAAAUGCGCAGAUAUCAGGAGGAACACCAACGGCGAAGGCAGCACUCUGGGCCGGAACUGACGCUGAGGAGCGAAAGCGUGGGGAGCGAACAGG
rnacentral:rRNA from 1 species